rnacentral:piRNA from 1 species
UCCGAGUCGAUCUACGAGACAACUACUCC